GCUGUGUACAGUACAUAGUACUUGAGAAUGAUCAUCAACAAUUAUGGUCCUGGUUUAUGUAUUUACCACACUGAAAACAAAGGUUGUGGUGAGGUCAGGGGUAUGGGUCAGAAGCCCAGAAACCUGUUAGGUAGAGGGGAGGAAAACGUGGGGAAGGAGAAUAGGCAGAACUAUCAAGCUCGGCCUUGGAUAAAGGAUUAGGAAGAAAAUGCAGGAUCCCAGGUGCCGGGGCUAGUGCGGAAGCCAGGCAGGGGCUGGGAGGGGCAGGAACACCUUCAACAAAUGCCUACCGACCCCUGCUCAGCCCCACAGGACCAAAGGCCGCUGUAGGCGAUGAUCAUCCCCAAUCACGGCCCUCGACCGGAGCGCACUUCCCCGCAUCUGGAGCCAUCUGCAUCUGUCUCCUUUGCAGUCUGCCGGUAAUUGGGUCUGAAAUCACACGCGUCCCACUCAGCUACAUUUACAUUUCCUUCUUGCGCUGUUUUUAUAUCCAGAGCUGUUGAAACCACUCCUAGGAUGAAUUUCUAAACUUAGACCAUCUCAUCCUCAAACGGCAAGAAAGAAAGUGUGAUGUGUCUGUGAAUCUGCUGAAUGGGCCGAGGGGUGUUUUUAAAAGAUCAUAUUGCGGGGAAGAAGCAGGCACUGCAGAAACCUAUGGAUUGGGGUGCUAAAACCUACGAGCUUCCCAGGAAGCUGCCUUUUGGGAGCCCGAACUAUCCCAGAACUUUUUCCUAGUAGCAGAUCACAAUCACCGUCUCUUCUGUGAGCCCGCUUCAAGCCAGCAAUGAAAGGACACUUCUGCACGCCAGCAGUAAGAGUAGG
rnacentral:lncRNA from 10 species